rnacentral:rRNA from 1 species
AACCUCCGCAAUGUGAGAAAUCGCGACGGGGGGAUCCCAAGUGCCAUUCUUAACGGGAUGGCUUUUCAUUAGUGUAAAGAGCUUUUGGAAUAAGAGCUGGGCAAGACCGGUGCCAGCCGCCGCGGUAACACCGGCAGCUCUAGUGGUAGCGAUUUUUAUUGGGCCUAAAGCGUCCGUAGCCGGUUUAAUAAGUCUCUGGUGAAAUCCUGCAGCUUAACUGUGGGAAUUGCUGGAGAUACUAUUAGACUUGAGAUCGGGAGAGGUUAGAGGUACUCCCAGGGUAGAGGUGAAAUUCUGUAAUCCUGGGAGGACCGCCUGUUGCGAAGGCGUCUAACUGGAACGAUUCUGACGGUGAGGGACGAAAGUUAGGGGCGCGAACCGGAUUAGAUACCCGGGUAGUCCUAACUGUAAACGAUGCGGACUUGGUGUUGGGGUGGCUUUGAGCUGCUCCAGUGCCGAAGGGAAGCUGUUAAGUCCGCCGCCUGGGAAGUACGGCCGCAAGACUGAAACUUAAAGGAAUU